UAAAGGCAAGCAGAUGGGAAGGUCUGAGGCGCCUCUAGGAAUAGAUCCAAAGGAGGAGACUCUUGGAGAGACUAACAGAAACCAACGGCUGCGUUCCUAACCUAAGAAGCUUCGGCAGAGGGGGGCGCAGGCGGCUGAGAAGUCUCGCGGCGUUGAAGUUAAGUCCAAUUGGCGAAAUCUUUCGACAACUCAAUUCAGACUACUCUCCU
rnacentral:RNase_P_RNA from 1 species